UACGUAGGGUGCAAGCGUUGUCCGGAAUUAUUGGGCGUAAAGAGCUCGUAGGCGGUUUGUCGCGUCGGCUGUGAAAGCCCGGAGCUCAACUCCGGGUCUGCAGUCGAUACGGGCAGACUUGAGUGUUGCAGGGGAGACUGGAAUUCCUGGUGUAGCGGUGAAAUGCGCAGAUAUCAGGAGGAACACCGGUGGCGAAGGCGGCCAACUGGACCAUUACUGACGCUGAGGCGCGAAAGCGUGGGGAGCAAACAGG
rnacentral:rRNA from 1 species